rnacentral:rRNA from 1 species
CUACGGGGGGCUGCAGUGGGGAAUUUUUCGCAAUGGGCGCAAGCCUGACGAAGCAACGCCGCGAGGAGGAUGAAGGUCUUCGGAUUGUAAACUCCUGUCGACCGGGACGAAUGCACCCGACCUAAUACGUCGGAGUGUUGACGGUACCGGUGGAGGAAGCCACGGCUAACUCUGUGCCAGCAGCCGCGGUAAUACAGAGGUGGCAAGCGUUGUUCGGAAGUGCUGGGCGUAAAGGGCGCAUAGGUGGCCUGAAAGCCCUCGGCUUAACUGAGGAUCUGCACGGGAUACUGCGAGGCUUGAGUUCGGGAGAGGAAAGCGGAAUUCCGGGUGUAGCGGUGAAAUGCGUAGAUAUCCGGAGGAACACCAGUGGCGAAGGCGGCUUUCUGGACCGACACUGACGCUGAGGCGCGAAAGCUAGGGGAGCAAACGGGAUUAGAUACCCUAGUAGUC